GGUUGAACAAAUUGUUAUAAAAAAAGCAAUCAAAAAGUGAUUUAUUCAUUACAAUAUAUAAUUCUCUUCUCUCUUAAAAUUUUGGCAAAUAGUGUGGUUAUUUUACUGAUCGGAUAGCGAUACAUUACAAGAAUCCGUGAUAUUUAUUUCUUUUUAAUGCAGUGAUCCAGUGCCAGCUGUGUUCCAGGAACAUUUUUAGAGCUUAACGUGGGCUUCCAAAAGGCCAUAGGUCAGUGUCAAAGAGCCUUUUCUGAUAUGGUAUCAUGUGCUGAUGAGAGCAAAAUAAACAAAGAUAACUAUCCUUUGCAAUGUUGAGGUCACAGAAACAAGUGUAUAAUUCAUCAGCCAAAUACGUAAUUUAGUAAAAAAAAAAAAUUAAUAAGAUCCGCCAAAGAUUUUUUAAAUUGCUAAAAAGAAAAAUUAUAACCAUUUAAACCCAAAAAUGUGGUCCAUAUUUUAUCAAAUGUGAAAAAAAAUAUUGAAAACCCUUUAAAUCCAAAUCUACAAUAGCGA